CUGUACUUGGUGUUACUGCGAAGGGGGGACGGAGAAGGCUAUGUUGGCCGGGCGACGGUUGUCCCGGUUUAAGCGUGUAGGCUGGUUUUCCAGGCAAAUCCGGAAAAUCAAGGCUGAGGCGUGAUGACGAGGCACUGCGGUGCUGAAGCAACAAAUGCCCUGCUUCCAGGAAAAGCCUCUAAGCAUCAGGUAACAUCAAAUCGUACCCCAAACCGACACAGGUGGUCAGGUAGAGAAUACCAAGGCGCUUGAGAGAACUCGGGUGAAGGAACUAGGCAAAAUGGUGCCGUAACUUCGGGAGAAGGCACGCUGAUAUGUAGGUGAAGUCCCUCGCGGAUGGAGCUGAAAUCAGUCGAAGAUACCAGCUGGCUGCAACUGUUUAUUAAAAACACAGCACUGUGCAAACACGAAAGUGGACGUAUACGGUGUGACGCCUGCCCGGUGCCGGAAGGUUAAUUGAUGGGGUUAGCGCAAGCGAAGCUCUUGAUCGAAGCCCCGGUAAACGGCGGCCGUAACUAUAACGGUCCUAAGGUAGCGAAAUUCCUUGUCGGGUAAGUUCCGACCUGCACGAAUGGCGUAAUGAUGGCCAGGCUGUCUCCACCCGAGACUCAGUGAAAUUGAACUCGCUGUGAAGAUGCAGUGUACCCGCGGCAAGACGGAAAGACCCCGUGAACCUUUACUAUAGCUUGACACUGAACAUUGAGCCUUGAUGUGUAGGAUAGGUGGGAGGCUUUGAAGUGUGGACGCCAGUCUGCAUGGAGCCGACCUUGAAAUACCACCCUUUAAUGUUUGAUGUUCUAACGUUGACCCGUAAUCCGGGUUGCGGACAGUGUCUGGUGGGUAGUUUGACUGGGGCGGUCUCCUCCUAAAGAGUAACGGAGGAGCACGAAGGUUGGCUAAUCCUGGUCGGACAUCAGGAGGUUAGUGCAAUGGCAUAAGCCAGCUUGACUGCGAGCGUGACGGCGCGAGCAGGUGCGAAAGCAGGUCAUAGUGAUCCGGUGGUUCUGAAUGGAAGGGCCAUCGCUCAACGGAUAAAAGGUACUCCGGGGAUAACAGGCUGAUACCGCCCAAGAGUUCAUAUCGACGGCGGUGUUUGGCACCUCGAUGUCGGCUCAUCACAUCCUGGGGCUGAAGUAGGUCCCAAGGGUAUGGCUGUUCGCCAUUUAAAGUGGUACGCGAGCUGGGUUUAGAACGUCGUGAGACAGUUCGGUCCCUAUCUGCCGUGGGCGCUGGAGAACUGAGGGGGGCUGCUCCUAGUACGAGAGGACCGGAGUGGACGCAUCACUGGUGUUCGGGUUGUCAUGCCAAUGGCACUGCCCGGUAGCUAAAUGCGGAAGAGAUAAGUGCUGAAAGCAUCUAAGCACGAAACUUGCCCCGAGAUGAGUUCUCCCUGACUCCUUGAGAGUCCUGAAGGAACGUUGAAGACGACGACGUUGAUAGGCCG
rnacentral:rRNA from 1 species